CCUCGUGAUCCGCCCGCCUCGGCCUCCCAAAGUGCUGGAAAUACAGGCGUGGGCCGCCGCGCCGGGCCUUCUCGUCUCAUACUUCUGCUGCUGAAUCCUGCUUCCAAAAGUCCUGAGCGUGCAGCAACAAGGCAUUAUCUUAAAAAGACCGAAGAGGCCUUACCAGAAAGCCACACCUGCAGCACAACCACAGGGCCAAGGAGUAUGAUCAGAAAAUAUUCCAGUCGCUGUGCUUUGGGAUGAUCAGAACUAGCCCACCAUUACAGCCAUCUAGGUUCGAAUCUUGAAAGACCCGGCAAGGAUUUCAACUCCUUCCCUUAAAGUGAGGCUCUUUUGGGAUCUUACUUGCCUUCCAGGGUGAUCAGCGGGGACCAAUCUAUUUACAAUAGAAAUUAAGUAAUGAAUUAGAAAUUUAAAGGGAAAAGGUGGAAAUCCUCAGCCUCUUUUUCCUGCGGUCUUCUUAGCAUCUGUAAGAAUUUCUCACUACUUUUCUAGUAUUCUUACAAAACGUUCCAAACCAAUGGAUGUGGGAAAUAGGUAUCAAGACUACAUGUGUGUACAUACUUUGAGACCCAGAUGUUGGCCUUGCUAAAAAUAAAAUCCAGUAACAUUAAAAUUUGUCCUAUUACCUGAUUCUUCCAGGUUAACACAACUUUUUUUUUUUUUUUUUUUUUUAACAUUUUCAUUUUAGGACAAUUUUUUACCGAGGUUUGAAAUCUUGACUGGUUUCAGCAUAUUAUUAAAUUUAAGUGUGUAAUUAUGUCCUUUUAUCCUAGCCAUGGGCAGAUUCACUAGGUUGGGCAAAUGAGAAAACAUAGUUUAAUUAAAAUAUGUCAAAAAAUAAGCAGG
rnacentral:lncRNA from 1 species